rnacentral:rRNA from 1 species
AUACGUAGGGAGCGAGCGUUGUCCGGAAUUACUGGGCGUAAAGGGCGCGUAGGCGGCGCUUCAAGUCGUCUGUCAAAUGGGAGGGCUUAACCCUUUUUCGCAGACGAAACUGGAGAGCUUGAGAAGCAGAGAGGCAAACAGAAUUCCUGGUGUAGCGGUGAAAUGCGUAGAUAUCAGGAAGAAUACCAGUGGCGAAGGCGGUUUGCUGGCUGCAUACUGACGCUGAAGCGCGAAAGCCAGGGGAGCAAACGGGAUUAGAUACCCCGGUAGUCCCGGCAGUAAACGAUGUAUGCUGGGUGUGAGACUAGCGAUAGUUUCGUGCCGAAGUUAACGCGAUAAGCAUACCGCCUGGGGAGUACGGUCGCAAGAUUGAAACUCAAAUGAAUUGACGGG